AUGGAACAAAUGAACCACUCACUGUCUCACUGCCACAAGCACAGAGUCCAUGGCCAUGUCCUCUGAAACACUGCUAUUACCUGCCUCUGUUCACGACUCUUGAAUUCACCUUGCAAGUGAUUUUUUAUACUGUCUACCUGCUUAGCUCAGCAUUGCCUAUGAUCUAAGAACCCCUCAAUGCCAACUGACAAAGAGGUCCCAAGAAUAUCCUGAUUCUGGUUACUGGACUAUAACUGGGGGACAAGAAAAGCACCUUGUUAUCCUGCACCUAUAAAGUGAGAUUACCUUCAUGAAAAUGGGAUUUCAAUCAGGCUUGGUUGAAAACUGCAAAGGACAUUUGGCUUGAUGACACCUUUCUAGAGGCCCUGGAAGCCCUGAAGAAUGUUGCAUUAGAGAACAAAGAUGAAUCAGGGCAAACUUGUUGCUCAGCAGCAAGACAAAUUGUUCAAGAGGACAUCAACCAUGAAGAGGAUGACAGCUAUCUGGCUUUAUGGAAGGCACUAGGCAUACAGCUAAUGGCAUCCAUGGCACGUCGGGAGUGUAAAAGAAUUAAGCAGUUUAUUCUAUACAUUUCUGUUGAUGCUGUCCUUAAUUAUUGUCUUAGGGAGAAGGUUUUUGAAGAUUGUGAGGGCUGUGUUAUAGAUACACGAGGCCAACGGCAUCAUGACUGUGUCAACUAGACUUCAGAGGAUAUAAACUGCAAGCUCUGGGACCUCUGUGUUGACCUGUGUUUGGAAAGCUUAUUAAACACAGUUAUUGCCAUAGGUUAUGCAAUGCAAUGCCUGUGCUUAACCAAAGAAAAUUUAGCACUAAGGGUGGUCUUGGUAAAUGCGGUGCAAACUGCUAGAGACUCUGGCAGUAUUUAAACAAAAUUACUAAAGUGAAGGAUAUCCACUUAUUACAUUAUACUGACCACCUGAUCUGCACAUCUGCUUAGGAAAAAGACUACUCUAAGAAAUCUAAAAGGAUUAAGUUAGAGAAUGGUGAUGGGACAAAUGUGAUAUAAAAUAUAAUAAAAUGUGUCAUCUGUAAAUGAAAA